UGGGAACACGGGCUAUGGUGGUAGCAGG
rnacentral:piRNA from 1 species